UUGGACCUAGAUGGCUGGAGGAAUCGG
rnacentral:piRNA from 1 species